rnacentral:pre_miRNA from 1 species
UCUUAUGGAUAAGCAAAGAAAGUGGUUUCUUGAGAUGGAAUCUGCUUUCGGUGAAGAUGCUGUGAA